AGGGUGAGACUACAAUGGAGCUCCAGCUGGUAGGUCCCUUAUUCCCGAGGGCCUAUCCACUGAAGGUGGCUUCUAGCUGUGCUGCUGCCUAUUCUCGGACUGAUCAUUGCUGGGGGUCUUUAUGUCAUCUGGAAACAGCACAUGGAAAAAAAGAAACUCAGGGACGAGCUCAAGUCUAACCGGGAGAAGUUAGAAGCACGUAAAAAGCGCUGAAAUUCUCUGAGGAUCUCAGCUCCCUCCUGCCUGGCGGUCCGGACUCUUCCUGGUCCAUUCCAGAAAGCCAGAUCCAGGGCCACUCCCACAACUCUUUGCAGCCUCCUCCUCCUCCUUCACCCUGCUGCUGUUAGGGCUCCAGCAGCCUCCUGGAACGCCUCUACCAGAGUGGGGGAACAAAAGGGGGCUGAAAACCCAGGAAGGAAUUGGGUAUCCCCAGCAAGACUGAUGUGGAUCAUUGGUUCUGAGCCCUGUGGGAAGUCAGCUUCCCUGAGGAAGGAGGAAGUGGGUGAAGGUGUCUACGCUGGGCAUCUCCAACCUGGGUCUGUGUCCCUGUCUCUGUUUUUGGAGGAAAUAAAGCAUUUUUCUCAAGGGAA